rnacentral:rRNA from 1 species
GGAUCUCUGGGCCAUUACUGACGCUGAGGAGCGAAAGCGUGGGGAGCGAACAGGAUUAGAUACCCUGGUAGUCCACNCYGUAAACGUUGGGAWCUAGGUGUUGSCGACAUUCCACGUCGUCGGUGCCGCAGCUAACGCAUUAAGUUCCCCGCCUGGGGAGUACGGCCGCAAGGCUAAAACUCAAAGGAAUUGACGGGGGCCCGCACAAGCAGCGGAGCAUGUGGCUUAAUUSGACSCAACGCGAAGAACCUUACCAAGGCUUGACAUAUACCGGAAAGCAUCAGAGAUGGUGCCCCCCUUGUGGUCGGUAUACAGGUGGUGCAUGGCUGUCGUCAGCUSGUGUCGUGAGAUGUUGGGUUAAGUCCCGCAACGAGCGCAACCCUUGUUSUGUGUUGCCAGCAUGCCCUUCGGGGUGAUGGGGACUCACAGGAGACUGCCGGGGUCAACUCGGAGGAAGGUGGGGACGACGUCAAGUCAUCAUGCCCYUUAUGUCUUGGGCUGCACACGUGCUACAAUGGCCGGUACAAUGAGCUGCGAUGCCGCGAGGCGGAGCGAAUCUCAAAAAGCCGGUCUCAGUUCGGAUUGGGGUCUGCAACUCGACCCCAUGAAGUCGGAGUUGCUAGUAAUCGCAGAUCAGCAUUGCUGCGGUGAAUACGUUCCCGGGCCUUGUACACACCGCCCGUCACGUCACGAAAGUCGGUAACACCCGAAGCCGGUGGCCCAACCCCUUGUGGGAGGGAG